GGGCUGAGGCUCGCAGUCCAAGUCUCUGCCCAGGACCAACUGCUGCAGCCACAACAGCUUGGAACUGAGCAGGAACUGCACAGCUGUGGUUUCCAUGGCCU
ensembl:miRNA gga-mir-1797 gga-mir-1797